UCCUCCCACCUCAGCCUCGGGAGUAGCUGGGACUACAGGUUCCCUGUCUUGGACAUCUCCUCCCGAAGGUAUUCCAUGUCCUUCUCCAACUUCAACUGUGGGAUGCAAAAAACCUCCAGAUGUGGGGUCGGCGGUGCCCCCACCUCCCACCCACAGUCUGGACUGUGCUCGCUGAAGCUGCGUCCACACCACAGAUCUUCCUAAGGAGGGGCGGGGGACCCCAACACACUGCCCCAAAACACGCCACUCCAGAUCAUUUUGCGCUAAAAGCAAUUAAAGACAAGAGCAGGUGCAA